UAGGGAAUCUUCGGCAAUGGACGAAAGUCUGACCGAGCAACGCCGCGUGAGUGAAGAAGGUUUUCGGAGCGUAAAACUCUGUUGUUAGAGAAGAACAAGGACGUUAGUAACUGAACGUCCCCUGACGGUAUCUAACCAGAAAGCCACGGCUAACUACGUGCCAGCAGCCGUGGUAAUACGUAGGUGGCAAGCGUUGUCCGGAUUUAUUGGGCGUAAAGCGAGCGCAGGCGGUUUCUUAAGUCUGAUGUGAAAGCCCCCGGCUCAACCGGGGAGGGUCAUUGGAAACUGGGGGACUUGAGUGCAGAAGAGGAGAGUGGAAUUCCAUGUGUAGCGGUGAAAUGCGUAGAUAUAUGGAGGAACACCAGUGGCGAAGGCGGCUCUCUGGUCUGUAACUGACGCUGAGGCUCGAAAGCGUGGGGAGCAAACAGG
rnacentral:rRNA from 1 species